rnacentral:rRNA from 1 species
GAUGAACGCUGGCGGCGUGCCUAAUACAUGCAAGUCGAGCGGUAACACUUCGGGUGACGAGCGGCGGACGGCUGAGUAACGCGUGGGAAUGUACCCCAAAGUGAGGGAUAACUGCUCGAAAGAGUAGCUAAUACCGCAUGUGGUCUACGGAUUAAAGCUUCGGCGCUCUGGGAACAGCCUGCGUAAGAUUAGCUUGUUGGUGAGGUAACGGCUCACCAAGGCGACGAUCUUUAGCUGGUCUGAGAGGAUGAUCAGCCAGACUGGGACUGAGAACGGCCCAGACUCCUACGGGAGGCAGCAGUAGGGAAUCUUCCACAAUGGACGAAAGUCUGAUGGAGCAACGCCGCGUGCAGGAUGAAUGCCUUCGGGUUGUAAACUGCUUUUAUAUGUGACGAUUAUGACGGUAGCAUAUGAAUAAGGAUCGGCUAAUUCCGUGCCAGCCGCCGCAGUAA